UACGUAGCGUCCAAACGUUAUUCGGAAUUACUGGGCUUAAAGGGUACGUAGGCGGCGCUGUCAGUCGGGUGUGAAAUCCCAGGGCUCAACCCUGGAACUGCGCCCGAUACUGCAGUGCUUGAGGGAGACAGAGGUAAGCGGAACUGAUGGUGGAGCGGUGAAAUGCGUUGAUAUCAUCAGGAACACCAGUGGCGAAAGCGGCUUACUGGGUCGCUUCUGACGCUGAGGUACGAAAGCUAGGGGAGCGAAGGGG
rnacentral:rRNA from 1 species